GGCCUCGUAGCUUAACUGAAUAGAGCAGCUGACUACGGAUCAGCAGGUUGUAGGUUUGAAUCCUAUCGAGGUCA
rnacentral:tRNA from 1 species